CUUUCCUCCUACUGUUGAUGCCAUAUUUCCACGCCAUCGAGGGUUCCCAAGCUAGUCUAUCGUUCACCAAACUUUCCACUCGCGAUCUGCCUAUUAUCUCAAGAGACUCUACUAUUGUUGGCUGCACAUUUCUCGUUACAGGUUUUAUACACCUAGCUUCUUCCCAUUUUAUUGUGGCAUCCCUAUCAUAUCCUUCACGUGCCAAGGCACUGUUCAGAUCCACUCUUAAAAUAUCAUUUUUAUGUUCUCCCAUGCGCUUUUCCACCUGUGCAUAAGACACCUGUUCAAUAUAGACUCAUAGUAGAUUAGUAAGGAAUAUAUAAAAAUAAAGUUUUGCAAAAUAACUGCAACUACAAAUGAAAGCACAACACUGAUGCUUCCACUGCGAACUAACUUCUUAAAG
rnacentral:lncRNA from 1 species